AUUGAACGCUGGCGGCAGGCCUAACACAUGCAAGUCGGGCGGUAACAGGGAGAAGCUUGCUUCUCCGCUGACGAGCGGCGGACGGGUGAGUAAUGUAUGGGGAUCUGCCUGAUGGCGGGGGAUAACUACUGGAAACGGUAGCUAAUACCGCAUAAUGUCUGCGGACCAAAGCGGGGGACCUCCGGGCCUCGCGCCAUCAGAUGAACCCAUAUGGGAUUAG
rnacentral:rRNA from 1 species